AUGAACGCUAGCGACAGGCUUAACACAUGCAAGUCGAGGGGCAGCACAGGUAGCAAUACCGGGUGGCGACCGGCGCACGGGUGAGUAACGCGUAUGCAACUUGCCUAUCAGAGGGGGAUAACCCGGCGAAAGUCGGACUAAUACCGCAUGAAGCAGGGGCCCCGCAUGGGGAUAUUUGCUAAAGAUUCAUCGCUGAUAGAUAGGCAUGCGUUCCAUUAGGCAGUUGGCGGGGUAACGGCCCACCAAACCGACGAUGGAUAGGGGUUCUGAGAGGAAGGUCCCCCACAUUGGUACUGAGACACGGACCAAACUCCUACGGGAGGCAGCAGUGAGGAAUAUUGGUCAAUGGCCGAGAGGCUGAACCAGCCAAGUCGCGUGAGGGAUGAAGGUUCUAUGGAUCGUAAACCUCUUUUAUAAGGGAAUAAAGUGCGGGACGUGUCCCGUUUUGUAUGUACCUUAUGAAUAAGGAUCGGCUAACUCCGUGCCAGCAGCCGCGGUAAUACGGAGGAUCCGAGCGUUAUCCGGAUUUAUUGGGUUUAAAGGGUGCGUAGGCGGCCUUUUAAGUCAGCGGUGAAAGUCUGUGGCUCAACCAUAGAAUUGCCGUUGAAACUGGGGGGCUUGAGUAUGUUUGAGGCAGGCGGAAUGCGUGGUGUAGCGGUGAAAUGCAUAGAUAUCACGCAGAACCCCGAUUGCGAAGGCAGCCUGCCAAGCCAUUACUGACGCUGAUGCACGAAAGCGUGGGGAUCAAACAGGAUUAGAUACCCUGGUAGUCCACACAGUAAACGAUGAAUACUCGCUGUUUGCGAUAUACAGUAAGCGGCCAAGCGAAAGCGUUAAGUAUUCCACCUGGGGAGUACGCCGGCAACGGUGAAACUCAAAGGAAUUGACGGGGGCCCGCACAAGCGGAGGAACAUGUGGUUUAAUUCGAUGAUACGCGAGGAACCUUACCAGGGUUUGAACGCAUUCGGACCGAGGUGGAAACACCUUUUCUAGCAAUAGCCGUUUGCGAGGUGCUGCAUGGUUGUCGUCAGCUCGUGCCGUGAGGUGUCGGCUUAAGUGCCAUAACGAGCGCAACCCUUGCCACUAGUUACUAACAGGUAAAGCUGAGGACUCUGGUGGGACUGCCAGCGUAAGCUGCGAGGAAGGCGGGGAUGACGUCAAAUCAGCACGGCCCUUACAUCCGGGGCGACACACGUGUUACAAUGGCGUGGACAAAGGGAAGCCACCUGGCGACAGGGAGCGAAUCCCCAAACCACGUCUCAGUUCGGAUCGGAGUCUGCAACCCGACUCCGUGAAGCUGGAUUCGCUAGUAAUCGCGCAUCAGCCAUGGCGCGGUGAAUACGUUCCCGGGCCUUGUACACACCGCCCGUCAAGCCAUGGGAGCCGGGGGUACCUGAAGUCCGUAACCGCGAGGAUCGGCCUAGGGUAAAACUGGUGACUGGGGCU
rnacentral:rRNA from 1 species